rnacentral:lncRNA from 1 species
CUCUCCCUACAAGUCUGGCACUGAAGGAGAACUGUUUUGCUUUGCUCCGGGAAGAGUGCAGACACGACGUGAAAUCCGGAGCUCUUUGCGUGGUGCAUUUAAAAUGCUUCCUUAUUUAUAUUACCCUCAUCCCCUCCCCUCUCCCACCCCCUCACCAGCCCUUCCAAAUUUCCCUAGAAAUCUGUGUAAAGCGUGGAGGGGAAAACAUUUGCAUAAAAAGUGAAGGAGCACGCCAAGGAGCACCAAAGACCAAGAGGAGACCAGAUGAGUUUUCAGAGCAGUUCUCAGACACCCAGGACGCAUGUCAUCCUUUGCCUCGUGCUUUCUGCAAUGUUGCUGCUCACCUUCAUCUUUCUAUUAACCCUCGCCAUAACAAUCCCCUCCUGACACCACCACCUCUUCUCCAUUAAUCACCCACUCAGCUCUCUCUGAGGUGUCUCUCCCAUGGGGCAUGGCUUUGUCUCUGGCAGGCUCCCCUUGAAUCAUAUCCAGAUGGCUACCAUUUACUUCCUUUUCCUCUGUCUCCUCUUCACACCAGACUCAGUUAACACUCAGUCCCUUGAUCAGGAAAACCGGAGAAAAAGUUCCCUUUUCUAAAAAGGAAGUCAGAGCGUGCUCUGCUGGAGCCACCAUGCUCAGGGAAGAGACCCAAAAUACAGCUGAGUGUGAUGUCAUUGAAACCAGAUGGAAAGACCAGAAAUCCCUUAAUCCCAGUCAGACCUAGUGAAGCUUUACUUGUGACUGUUGGGACUGAUUAAGAAUAUGGGGGCAGGGAGGAAGAGAGGGAGAAAGAUGUUCUGAAUUGGAUUGCCCUUCAAUACAGAAUGGAAUCCCCUAGUUUUUUUGUCCUCCAAUUAAAUGUGCAUUUCAUUCU